GACAGAGGGUGCGAGCGUUAAUCGGAGUUACUGGGCGUAAAGGGCGCGUAGGCGGUUAUAUGAGUGUGUUGUGAAAGCCCCGGGCUUAACCUGGGAAGCGCAAUGCAAACGAUAUAACUGGAGUAGAUGAGAGGGUGGCGGAAUUUCCGGUGUAGCGGUGAAAUGCGUAGAGAUCGGAAGGAACGUCGAUGGCGAAGGCAGCCACCUGGCAUCAUACUGACGCUGAGGCGCGAAAGCGUGGGGAUCGAACAGG
rnacentral:rRNA from 1 species